AGCGAACGCUGGCGGCAGGCUUAACACAUGCAAGUCGAGCGGGCAUCCUUGUGGUGUCCGCGGCAGACGGGUGAGUCACACGUGUGAGCGUGCCCUUCGUUUCGUAAUAACUCGGGGAAACUUAAGCUAAUACCGCAUACGUACUACCGCAGAAUGUAUUAUCUGCCAAAGGACCGGACCGCGUCUGAUUAGUUCGUUGGUGAGGUUAUGGCUCACCAAGGCGUCGACCAGUAGCUGGUCUGAGAGGAUGAUCAGACACACCGGGACGGGGAAACGGCACAGACUCCUACGGGAGGCAGCAGUGGGGAAUGGUGGGAAAUGGGGGCAACCAUGAUCCAGUCCGGCCGCGUGAGUGAUGUCGGCCUUAGGGUUGUAAAGCUCUUGUCACCAGGACGGUAAUGACGGUACCGGAGGAAUAAGCCCCGGCUAACUUCGUG
rnacentral:rRNA from 1 species